rnacentral:hammerhead_ribozyme from 1 species
GCACUGCUGAGGAGUCGCAUAAUAGGACGAAACAGCUGUCCAAUGC